GUCGAACGGUACAGGAUGUGCUUGCACAUCGCUGACGAGUGGCGGACGGGUGAGUAAUGCUUAGGGAUCUGCCUCUGUGUGGGGGAUAACUAUUGGAAACGAUAGCUAAUACCGCAUAAUGUUUACGGACCAAAGGGGGCGUUUGCUCCCGCGCAGAGAGGAACCUAAGUGAGAUUAGCUAGUUGGUAAGGUAAUGGCUUACCAAGGCGACGAUCUCUAGCUGUUCUGAGAGGAAGAUCAGCCACACUGGGACUGAGACACGGCCCAGACUCCUACGUGGAGGCAGCAGUGGGGAACAUUGCACAAUGGGGGGAACCCUGAUGCAGCCAUGCCGCGUGUGUGAAGAAGGCCUUCGGGUUGUAAAGCACUUUCAGUUGUGAGGAAAGGUUAGUAGUUAAUACCUGCUAGCUGUGACGUUAGCAACAGAAGAAGCACCGGCUAACUCCGUGCCAGCAGCCGCGGUAAUACGGAGGGUGCGAGCGUUAAUCGGAAUUACUGGGCGUAAAGCGCACGCAGGCGGUUUGUUAAGCUAGAUGU
rnacentral:rRNA from 1 species